rnacentral:rRNA from 1 species
UACGUAGGGACCGAGCGUUGUCCGGAUUCAUUGGGCGUAAAGAGCUCGUAGGCGGCUGCUCAAGUCGAAUGUGAAAACUCGAGGCUCAACCUCGAGCCUGCAUUCGAUACUGCCCGACUAGAGGUAGGUAGGGGAGAUCGGAAUUCCUGGUGUAGCGGUGAAAUGCGCGAUAUCAGGAGGAACACCGGUGGCGAAGGCGGAUCUCUGGGCCUUACCUGACGCUGAGACGCGAAAGCGUGGGGAGCGAACCGG